AGACCACUCUGUCAGUUGUGUGGAGAAGGAAUUAAGGAGGAGGAGAAGAAUGGAAGCAGGGGCACCUGCGAGGAGACCACUGGUUGUGACAGGAGCACUUGGUGAGCACCGGCAUUGAUGUGGGGACGAGAGAGGGCACGGCGUCUCUGAAGGCAGAGACGUCCUACUGCUUUCCUCACUCCUGUACUUCCAGUGCCUGUGACCGUGCCUGGCGAAUAACUAGUCUUCGGAUCCUGCGAGCACAGCACAGACAUUACCUCCCUGGGCUUCCAAACACCUCUGUGAGCUGAGGAUCAAGGACAGGGAUUAUUUUACAGAUGGGAAAACUGGCACUCAAAAACCGCAUAUGUGCCAAGACCCCUUCAGAAGAUAGCGGCACAGCCAGAAACAGG